rnacentral:lncRNA from 1 species
UUUGUGAGAAUACAUUUUAUACCUCCGCAAUGUGAGGAGGGGAAGAUGUCUUGUGGAUUUACAGAACAAGAACCGCAAUAGUCCGCAUUGGUCCAUCACUCUGGAAACUUGAAAAAGUUGAAAAAUACUUUUGGAAGUCAUAUGUCUGUCUAGUGGAAUGACCGCACCGAUUAAUUUUCUCGGUUUAAAAGACUGUUUUAAAACCAUGAACAAUUAUUGCGGACUGGAUUUAUUCAAAUUGAUUGGGUGGAAUGUAACGUUCCGUCGUGGAAUGUCAGCGAGGCUGUAGACUGGAGUUAAGCAGUGCAUUUGGGACGCGCACUCAUGGAGCUUCAGGUGGUAUGUGGACUGCUCUACUGCUUCCUUUUGCCGACGUUCUUGUUAGCAGCAAGAUCUGUUGGUGCUCAUCUGGAUGCAGAAAGUAACCCUGCCAUCUUUGUGGUCAAUCCAAGGCUGGAAGGUGCACAUCACUGAGGGCAAUAAAAAUGCUCCAGACAGUGGGUCAUCCUGACCAGUGCAUUGUUCCACAUGAGGCCACAUAGGGCCUGAUUAAUCAAGACCACAUGGUUGGCUUGUGUGUUUACUACUACCGUUUGAAAGUGAGACAAUGAGAAGAUAAUGAACCUGUAUCUUAGUGGAAUAAAGAUUUUAGAACAGGGUGGAAUAUGUGAAGAGAGGACAAACACAAUAAAUCAAAUUAAAUCAAAUGUUAUUUGUCAAAUGUGCCGAAUACAACAGUUGCAGACCUUGCCGUAAAAUGCUUACUUUACAAGCCCUUAACCAACAAGGCAGUUCAAGAAAUAGAGUUAGGCAAAUAUUUACAAAAUAAAAUAAAGUGAAAAAAUAAAUAAAAUCAAAAAGUAACACAAGAAAAUUACAUUAACGAGGCUAUAUAUACGGGGUACCGGUACCGAGACAAUUUGAGGGGGUAAAGGUUAGUUGAGGUAUUUGUAAAGUGACUAUGCAUAGAUAAUAAACAGUGAGUUUAUAAACAGCAGUGCCAAAACAAAUACCUCAACUAACCUUUACAAAUACCGAGGUAAUUGAGGUAAUAUGUACUUGUAGGUAGAGUUAAAGUGGCUAUGCAUAAAUAAUAACCAGAGAGUAGCAGUGGAGUAAAAGAGGAGAAUGGAACAUGGGCCCUGUGCUGUGUGAGGACAGUUGUGUGUGAGGUUAAGCCCAUGUGUGUCUGCUGCAUAGGUCUGAUAAACCGUGCGUUUGAGUCUCCAGCUGCGUUACAUAGUGAAAACACCUGUAGCCUGUCGCUCCAGCACAGCUUAAAUACACCCAUUAGCUAGAACGAUGCUCCAAACACUGUUAACAUUACACAGCCAGGAGACAGCUAAUAUAGAGAGGGGUUUAAAACAUGAUUUUCAAUCUCUACCUUUUGAUUUUGAUUCAACUGGUUGAAGUGUAAAUCACAGCCUUGAAGUGCUAUUCUGUUGAAGAGCUGUUUGAGAACGUAAGAUAGCAUCGAUCUAUGCUAGUUCUCCUUUUGUCCGGUGCCAAGGAUAGAUCUAUGUUUUAUUUGGUCACUCACUGCCAAAAAGACGAGUUAGUGUCAGUGAGAUGUAAACCUGCAAGAGGCCUAUUCUAGGGCCCUACUCUGGGCUGAGACUCUGCUUCUAUAAGAAGAGAAUGUGAGAAGGACAUGACUGGCAAAGUGGGCGAGGAAAAUAGUUCACCCUUAAGUCCUGGCUUGCUGCUCAUUACCUCAUGUUCAAAGCUAUAAACAGUAUGG